UUUAUAAAGAGUUUGAUCCUGGCUCAGGACGAACGCUGGCGGCGCGCCUAACACAUGCAAGUCGAACGAGAGAGAGGAAGCUUGCUUCCUCAAUCGAGUGGCGAACGGGUGAGUAACGCGUGAGGAACCUGCCUCAAAGAGGGGGACAACAGUUGGAAACGACUGCUAAUACCGCAUAAGCCCAC
rnacentral:rRNA from 1 species